GAAAUAUGGACACGCCCACGGAGUCGGCAAACAGAAAUGUGUGUUUACUAACUUUAGGUGACAUUACGGAUGGACAGCUUGAGAAUAUAAGUAAAGAACAUUGUUAUAGCAGAGGUCUAAAACGUAAAUACUUGGAACUACAUGAUGAUGUAGAUGGUCAACAAGAACAUAAUCAGUCUUUGUCACCAGCAGAUGAUUGCUUUGAUGACAACUAUGAUGUAUGUCAAUCAGAGAUUGAAAGCGAAAAAGAUGAGGAUGAGGAAGAAGAGGAGGGGGCUCUUGGAGGUCGCAGGAUUGCAGAGUUGAGUGUUUUGGCUGCAAAAUUAAAUGAAGGCUGCAGUAAUUGCUCUACAGAGCUAAAACUUUCAUCCUGCGUUGGAGAAAUCAGAUAUGGCCCAGGCAGCCUCCUCAAAAUUCAUUGCAAUAAUUGCAAUGAAAUUAAUAAUGUACCUACUGGCAAGAGACAUGGUCAAAUUACAUUGGAUAUUAAUACAAAAUUGGGUGCAGCUGUGGUAUUUUGUGGACUUUGAGAAAUGACCGUUAACAAUUUCCUUGCUGCUUUGAAUAUUCUCACUGUAACUUCUGUAACUUAUAAGAGACAAGAGAGGAGGUUGGCAGUAUUUUUGAAGCUGUUGCAAAUGAGACUUGUAACGAAGCCGUUGCCGAGGAGAAAAAAAGAUCACAAGAUGCCGAAAAUUUUUCCGUGUCCUUUGAUGCUGGAUGGCAGACCAGAGGUAGCUGUCGAAACUAUGCAAGUUUGUCAGGGCAUGCGAGUAUGAUUGGAGAGAAGACAGGAAAAAUUCUUUCAUAUGCUGUUCGGUGCAAGAAAUGCAGAUUCUGUGAUAAAGCACCAGUAUCAGCAGAAGUGAAUAAACAUGAUUGUAGAAGAAAUUGGGAAAAAUCCUCAAAGGCAAUGGAACCAGAUAUGGCUUUAGAAAUGUUGCAUGACUAAAAAGCGCGUGACUUCCAUGUAAAACAUCUUAUAAUGGAUAAUGACUCAACAACCUUAGCCAAGGCAAAAAUGUCUUUUGAUCCAAAUAUUCAAAUAAUUUCGGAUUUUAAUCAUACAAAUAAAAAUCUGGCAAGUAAACUCUAUGACAUCAAGAAGGAGAAAAAGUAUCCUCUUCUAGGUCCAAAAUCCAUUCAACAUUUACUAAAAUGUUUUUCAUAUGCUGUGAAAUCCAACGAAGACGCAGACACUUUAAAGAGAAAUUUAGACUCUAUUCCUCUCCAUGUAUUUGGAAACCACAAGAAAUGUGAAAAAAAGUGGUGUAAAUAUCUAAAGGACCCAGACAAUUAUAAACCCAUAAAUUUACCAUAUGGAAAAUAUCUUUCUGGAGUGGAUUUACUCUAAGAUUUACAGCAUCUGUUCAGUGAUUUAGCUAAAAGUGCAAGUAAACUUUCCAAUAUUGCAAGCACUCAGGCAAAUGAAAACUUCAACAUAAUAGUGGCCUGCAAAAAUCCCAAAGCAUUAUAUUACAGUGGAUAUGAAAGCACAUCCUUUAGAGUAGCAGCUGCUGUUGCACAUAAGAAUAUUAGACAUCUGACAAUUGGAAAGGUUUACGAUACUUUGAUGCUCUCGCCAGGGAUGCACACAAAUGUACAUGAAAUGAGGGUUUCUCGAAAGAGAGAAAAAGAAAAAUUGCGACAAAGCACUGUUGAGUGCAAGAGACGAAGACAUGAACUAAAGAAAUUGUAAU